rnacentral:tRNA from 1 species
AGAAAUUUAGGCUAAACCAGACCGAAAGCCUUCAAAGCUUUAAGUAAGAGUGAAAACCUCCUAAUUUCUG